rnacentral:rRNA from 1 species
AUGCAAGUCGUGGGGCAGCAUGACUGUAGCAAUACAGUUGAUGGCGACCGGCAAACGGGUGCGGAACACGUACACAACCUUCCUUUUAGUGGAGAAUAGCCCAGGGAAACUUGGAUUAAUACUCCGUAACAUAUAGAAGUGGCAUCACUUCUAUAUUAUAGCAGCAAUGCGCUAGAAGAUGGGUGUGCGGCUGAUUAGAUAGUUGGCGGGGUAACGGCCCACCAAGUCGACGAUCAGUAACUGGUGUGAGAGCACGACCAGUCACACGGGCACUGAGACACGGGCCCGACUCCUACGGGAGGCAGCAGUAAGGAAUAUUGGUCAAUGGACGCAAGUCUGAACCAGCCAUGCCGCGUGGAGGAUGAAGGUCCUCUGGAUUGUAAACUUCUUUUAUUUGGGAAGAAACCCAUCUUUUCUAAGAUGGUUGACGGUACCAGAUGAAUAAGCACCGGCUAACUCCGUGCCAGCAGCCGCGGUAAUACGGAGGGUGCAAGCGUUAUCCGGAUUCACUGGGUUUAAAGGGUGCGUAGGUGGGCAAGUAAGUCAGUGGUGAAAUCUCCGGGCUUAACCCGGAAACUGCCAUUGAUACUAUUUGUCUUGAAUACUGUGGAGGUCAGCGGAAUAUGUCAUGUAGCGGUGAAAUGCUUAGAUAUGACAUAGAACACCAAUUGCGAAGGCAGCUGGCUACACAAAUAUUGACACUGAGGCACGAAAGCAUGGGGAUCAAAC